GAGAAAUGAGGAAAAUAAUACAAGUCUUGAGUUACAAUGAAGACUUUAAUCCAACCCUGAUCUCUGAGCACUU